rnacentral:rRNA from 17 species
UUAAUUGAAGAGUUUGAUCAUGGCUCAGAUUGAACGCUGGCGGCAGGCCUAACACAUGCAAGUCGAGCGGAAACAGAAAGGUAGCUUGCUACCUUUGCUGUCGAGCGGCGGACGGGUGAGUAAUGCCUAGAUAUCUGCCUAGUCGUGGGGGAUAACAGUUGGAAACGACUGCUAAUACCCAUACGCCCUGCAGGGAAAGGAGGGACUUCGGCCUUUCGCGAUUAGAUGAGUCUAGGUGGGAUUAGCUAGUUGGUGAGGUAAUAGCUCACCAAGGCGACGAUCCUAGCUGUUCUGAGAGGAUGAUCAGCCACUGGGACUGAGACACGGCCCAGACUCCUACGGGAGGCAGCAGUGGGGAAUAUUGCACAAUGGGCGAAAGCCUGAUGCAGCCAUGCCGCGUGUGUGAAGAAGGCCUUCGGGUUGUAAAGCACUUUCGAGGAGGAAAGGUUGUAGUUUACUGGGCGUAAAGCGUACGCAGGCGGUUUGUUAAGCAAGAUGUGAAAGCCCGGGCUCAAUUAAUUGCAUUUUGAACUGGCAAACUAGAGUCUUGUAGAGGGUAGAAUUUCAGGUGUAGCGGUGAAAUGCGUGAGAUCUGAAGGAAUACCGGUGGCGAAGGCGGCCUGGACAAAGACUGACGCUCAGGUACGAAAGCGUGGGAGCAAACAGGAUUAGAUACUAUGGUAGUCCACGCCGUAAACGAUGUCUACUCGGAGUUUGGUAACUUAGUUACUGGGCUCCCAAGCUAACGCAUUAAGUAGACCGAUGGGUACGGCCGCAAGGUUAAAACUCAAAUGAAUUGACGGGGCCCGCACAAGCGGUGGAGCAUGGUUUAAUUCGAUGCAACGCGAAGAACCUUACCUACUCUUGACAUCCACAGAACUCAGAGAAUGGCUUGGUGCCUUCGGAACUGUGAGACAGGUGCUGCAUGGCUGUCGUCAGCUCGUGUUGUGAAAUGUUGGGUUAAGUCCCGCAACGAGCGCAACCUUAUCCUUAUUUGCCAGCACGCAAUGGUGGGAACUUUAGGAGACUGCCGGUGAUAAACCGGAGGAAGGUGGGACGACGUCAAGUCAUCGGCCCUUACAGGUAGGGCUACACACGUGCUACAAUGGUCGGUACAGAGGGUCGCAAAGCCGCGAGGUCAAGCUAAUCCCCAAAGCCGGUCGUAGUCCGGAUCGAGUCUGCAACUCGACUCCGUGAAGUCGGAAUCGCUAAUCAGAAUCAGAAUGCUACGGUGAAUACGUUCCCGGGCCUUGUACACACCGCCCGUCACACCAUGGGAGUGGGCUGCACCAGAAGUAGAUAGCUUAACCUUUCGGGGAGGGCGUUUACCACGGUGUGGUUCAUGACUGGGGUGAAGUCGUAACAAGGUAGCCCUAGGCCUGGCUGGAUCACUCCUUA